AUAUAUAUAUAUAUAUAUAUAUACGACUUAAUCUUUUUUAAGGGCGGCUUAAUUAGUCUCCUGUGAAAAUUGUGAAGUGUACUGAAGUCACUAGUUUAAAUUCAUUUAAGGAAUUGAAUAUUUCACUGACCACAAUGUUUAUUACUGUACUAGAAAUACAUGCAUGCAGCAACCCCUCCCCUGUAUUUUCCAAGCAUUGAUUUAACAUGAACUAUUAGUUAUUGAUCAACACUGAAUUCAGGCUCGCGUUUACGUCAGUGUUGCCAUGGCAACACGAUAAUUUUAAUUUUUUUUUUUUGUACAACAUGCCAAAAAUAGUUGAAUGAUUAUUGCUUUUAUUAAAAACUAUAUAACAAUGAAUUUCCGAAAUAUUUAGGUAUGUUGUUCUGCAUUUUAUAACAUCGCGGAAAAACGUCUGCGCAUGCGUCAUAAUUACUGCAAUCUGUAUUGCGAACGUGAUGUCAAGUGUUCCGAAUGUUGUCAAAAACUCAAAAUGGAAGCGACUUCGAUGUUUUGUCUUUUCUAUGAAAAUGCAAGCGGAAUAAUGAACGUGACAACCUAAAAACUAGAAAUAAUUAUAGCCUACAUAUGCAAGAAGUAGUAUUAUGCAAGAAAAUAAACCGAAGAUGACUGUCGAUAAAUUUAUUGUAGAAAACGUUCUUUAAUUAACUGAACCAUACAAAGAUAUUUUUCGUAGGUUCAUAUCAUCCACAUUUUUGUCAAUAACUUUCUUUGCGUAACAUGUAUAAUUUUUGCGUUGACUAUAUUUAAGGGUAAUGAUUUACUCUACAAUUUAAUCGUGCGCAAAUGCUUAACUGUUCGAUAGUUUUCUGCUUUAAGUUCGGUAUUCGACAAUUUUUCAAGAAAUGUUCACACGCCUCCCGGUUUUAAACGGUAAUUUUUAAUUCAAAUUCUGUUCCAUUUUAGAUUUUAAAUGUUAAAAUA